AGUCGAACGAUGACACCCUUCUGGGUGGAUUAGUGGCGAACGGGUGAGUAACACGUGGGCAAUCUGCCCUUCACUCUGGGACGAGCCCUGGAAACGGGGUCUAAUACCGGAUACCACCUCCUGAGGCAUCUUGGGGGGUUGAAAGCUCCGGCGGUGAAGGAUGAGCCCGCGGCCUAUCAUCUUGUUGGUGGGGUGAUGGCCUACCAAGGCGACGACGGGUAGCCGGCCUGAGAGGGCGACCGGCCACACUGGGACUGAGACACGGCCCAGACUCCUACCGGAGGCAGCAGUGGGGAAUAUUGCACAAUGGGCGAAAGCCUGAUGCAGCGACGCCGCGUGAGGGAUGACGGCCUUCGGGUUGUAAACCUCUUUCACCAGGGAAGAAGCGAAAGUGACGGUACCUGCAAAAGAAGCGCCGGCUAACUACGUGCCAACAACCGCGGUAAUACGUAGGGCGCAAGCGUUGUCCGGAAUUAUUGGGCGUAAAGAGCUCGUAUGCGGCUUGUCACGUCGGUUGUGAAAGCCC
rnacentral:rRNA from 1 species